rnacentral:rRNA from 1 species
ACUCCUACGGGAGGCAGCAGUGGGGAAUAUUGCACAAUGGGCGCAAGCCUGAUGCAGCCAUGCCGCGUGUAUGAAGAAGGCCUUCGGGUUGUAAAGUACUUUCAGCAGUGAGGAAGGCGGGUACGUUAAUAGCGUGCUUGUUUGACGUUAGCUGCAGAAGAAGCACCGGCUAACUCCGUGCCAGCAGCCGCGGUAAUACGGAGGGUGCGAGCGUUAAUCGGAAUUACUGGGCGUAAAGCGCAUGCAGGUGGUUUGUUAAGUCAGAUGUGAAAGCCCGGGGCUCAACCUCGGAAUUGCAUUUGAAACUGGCAGACUAGAGUACUGUAGAGGGGGGUAGAAUUUCAGGUGUAGCGGUGAAAUGCGUAGAGAUCUGAAGGAAUACCGGUGGCGAAGCGGCCCCCUGGACAGAUACUGACACUCAGAUGCGAAAGCGUGGGGAGCAAACAGGAUUAGAUACCCUGGUAGGAUAGCG